rnacentral:lncRNA from 1 species
UGUAGUAAAGUGAAAAUAUAAAUGUUUGUAAUAAUAGAAAUCUAACAACAGAGAAAUAUCAAUUUAUACGGUAAAAAUAGUACAAGCAAUACAUAUUUCAAGCACUUUUCGAGAUUGAGACACAAUGAUUCCACAAGUCUGCACUCUUCUUCAAGUAUUCUGUUUCGUGGGCAAUUAACAUGGGUUUAUCUGCAAUAUAUUUAAUAAGCGUAUCGUGGCACACUUUUCCUUCUUUGACGAGAUCGUUGCAACAAGGAUCAGAGAUGGUUCCAUUUUCAAAGACAACACCGAUUAUA